AAAAGGUCGUCGAGAUAAAUUAAGCAAUUGACGAUAAGCUAUCGUCAUCGUUAUCGUGGCAGCUCGGUGUGGGAUUUUGCACGCGUUCAGAUAAAGAAGACAGACGAAAUCGAACCCUUCCUUCGAAGAAACAAUCCGAGAAAUCUCGUGACACGCUCUGAAUGGUUCGAGAGGGGUACACAACCUACUGAUAACGCGUAACAUGUAACAUCGGCUGUUCUAAAACCAACAAACCGGUAGAUAAAGAAAGUGUGUCAUUUAAGUGGACUCGUGGUUCUUCAUCUCGUUCUAGAUGACCUAUCGUCGAAUAAGCACUUCAAUUUGUAUUUGCUUCGUAAUUUAUAUAUCAGCCAUUUAAAAGCCAUAGCGAUCAAUUCGACAAAUUGAAAGUGAGGAUAUCGCAAACCCUGCUUUUUUUACUUUGCCUUACGAUUUAUCUUUAUUUGUGUCAUCUUCUUGCGAUCGAUCGUCUUAUGGAAGUUAGCCCUUCGUUUCUUCAGUAUUCGAUAUCAAUCGUUUACUUACGUAAUGAAAUUACGAAAUUGAUAAAAAAUGGAUGAGUUUGUCUUCUGAGGGAUUCCUAUAGGAAACGAAGAGAAAUUAUAGCAUUUAUAAAUCGGUUGGAAAAUUUGUUAAGAUCCUUAAAGUUACGCAGAUCCGCGUGGCUCGUUGGCAAGAAUAACAGGGUAUAAUUAGAAGAACAAUAAAUCUAUAAUGGAGCUCGCGAGUGUAGCGCAUGCACAAAGCUAUGGACGUGAUGCAGUUAUACUAGCAUCCCUCUGCUUCGUUCUUACACACGUGUUACACUCUUCGGCGAGCAAAUAUGGAACUGAAAUCGUGAACGAUAGGAAAGGUCUUGAGCCGCGGCCAAAUGUCACGACGAGAUCGAUCAAACGUUAUCCACGGACAGCGGAUUUCCAGUACGCGAAAGACGCAGGCACCAGAUGUUUAUCGAAGGUUCGAGGAAGAAAAGAGCAGAGACAGGGAAGAAAAGUAACCGAGGAGGAGAAACCGAAGCAAGGAAAGGUCCGUGUGUUUGGCUGUUUGUAGAAUCUGGGUGUAAGACUCGUCUGGAGUCGUGAGGUCGGCACACGAACCACGAACGCAGCCUGCAUCGUGCAUAUGUAUACUCCGCGUUCGGAUUAUGCAAGCAAGUCCGCUUUCUACGUGGGCUUAGAAUCUGGGUCGGACACGAAGUCAUUGUUUACAACGAGUCGGCGUUGAAUAGGUGGGUUGAUGCUAUGUGACGGAGUGUACCGUGUCUACCCAGACUUGCAACUGCAAUAGCUCGCGAUACCUUCCAAUCCCUUCGACCACUACCUCCUUUUCUCUGUUUGUUUCUUUGAUUAAUCAGUACUAACGACGAGGUGCCCAUCAACGCGCAUUGUACACGAUAGAUCGCGAUGAUUAUGAUUUCGUUAACUAAAAGAUUGGAAUCUCAGCUGAGACUUCUUCCACCUACUACAUAUUAUUAUUACGAAUACCAUACAUCGAAUAUUUUAUAUAUUUUUCCACAUUAUGUAUAUUUUCCCAUCUUCAAAUUUCCCAUAAAUCCAAUCUUAUUUAUCAAUAUCCAAUAUCAUUGGAAUUGUCGGGUAGAGAUUAUUUGGAUAGAGAUCAUGCACGGUUGUAUGGCUGAUAACUGGAAGUUAUACUAUGCCGAAUGGAAAGAACGAAACAAAUAAUAAAAUAAUAUUAUUCGUUGAAUUACAAGCUGUAGAAUUUGAAAAUUCUUAGAAGCUGUUUUGGUAUAAUUUAUAUAUUAAAACAUUAUCCAGGCGUACUGUAUAUUAGAGAAGACGAAGGAUAAACUGAUCGUACGAUCGGAUUCGAUGUUCAUUAAUUAAAAGUUUGACUUUUGUUAUAAACAAAAUAAUGAUGUUAAGGUUCCAAACAAUUGAAACGUCUGUAUUGUUCUCUGGGCUUUAUUCUUUCGCUGGAAAAAUCGUGAACGAUGAUUAAAAGCGAAAUGAGAAUUAGGUUAGUUGUUGUUGAAAAAGUUCGUCGUACGAAAUAUUCGUUUGUCGUAACAUAAGCGGAAAUCAUAUCAAAAGUUAUUGUUUCGGUUUUUGGAAAAUAAUAAUGUACAUAUAAACACGAUGAAAUAAUAACGUUAUAAAUACAGAGGAAUGGCUUUGAAAAUGAAUAUUUCGCCUUUAUGAUAAAAUUGCAUUUUACGCAGUAGUGACGUAUUAAGAAAAUUUAUGAAUGUUAGGGUCGGUAUUAACAUCAAAAUGCACGGUAUUAUAUCUACGAUAAGAUUAACUACGUGUUGAUACAUUCUUGUCUGCGGUUAUUAAGCUAGUAUCUUCGUACAGUGGCUGCCAAAAUUUGAUGCCAAAAUGUAAUUUUAUUACAUCAUUCAGAAAUCUGUCACACAAGUAUUACACGUACUGCAUUGUAUGAAAUUGCACGAAACUACCAUAAGAAUUGUCUGAAAUAUUUUUACAACAAAAAUUUUACUAAUGCAUAAUUUCUAACCUGAAGUAAAAUUACGUUCUAGCCUGGAACUAUUGGCAGCCGAUUGAGGUUAGGUUGGAGUUAGGUUGAGGUUAGG